CUAUAAAAACUUCACAUCAGUCUGUCAGUGGAGUUCACAGCACGUCAGUUUCACCAUCAACCAUGUUUUCUGUAGCUCUGCUGCUGCUGUUGGCAGCUGGAUCCUGUGUGAAUUGUGAACAGUUGACACAGCCAGCCUCUGUGACUGUGCAGCCAGGUCAACAUCUGACCAUCACCUGUCAGGUCUCUUAUUCUGUUAGCAGCUACUGGACAGCUUGGAUCAGACAGCCUGCAGGGAAAGAACUCGAGUGGAUUGGACAUGCAUCAGCUGGAUCCACCACACGCUACAAAGAUUCACUAAAGAACAAGUUCAGUAUCACCACAGACUCUUCCAGCAACACAGUGACUCUCAAUGGACAGAAUGUGCAACCUGAAGACACUGCUGUGUAUUACUGUGCCAGAUACACACAACAACACAAACCAUCUAUAGACCUGAACAAAAACCCCUCAGUGUCUGAACACUUGUAACAUGAAGCCACCAGAGGAGGAGCCCUCAGACCACUAAUGACCUAGACCACCUAGUUCAGUGCAACGGAGAAAAACAGUCUUUGAACAUAUUUAGCAGUGGAGAUAUUAAAUGAAUGUAAAUAAUACAAUUGAGGCAUUUUCCAAAAACAAUGUUUAUAUGUAUGAAUAUGAAUUAAUAACAGCAUCAUGUAAGCUGAUAAGUACACUUAUACCUAUGUGAUUAAUGCAUUAUGCAGCUUCUCUUCAUUCCUAGUUUGACCAACACAAUGUCAUUAAGUGAAUUAGUCAAUUAAUACACUCUUUAUACUCGCCAUAAUAAUAAUCAGAUUAGCUUUACCGUGUGUUGCCUUAUAAGGAAGUGAAGUGUGUGUGUGUCAGUGAGAGGACAGAAGAGCUCACAUCAGUUCAGCUUCACCAUCAACCAUGUUCUCUGUAGCUCUGAUACUGAAUCCUGUGAGGACCAGAUUAUUAUUUAAUGAGUUGCAUAUACCUUACAUAAGAAUUGUGCCAUUAAAUUCUAGAUGUCCUUUCCAACAGCCAGUAAAUGUUUUUCACUCAUGUGUAUGACAAUAACCAUUAACUGAGACAGGAAAAAAAAUAAAAUAAAAAAAUGAGAGAGGAUGACAAUCGUUUUCACUUGACUGAGGGUAACAGAAUUUUCUCAUUGUUGUUUUAUUGACUGAAAAA